GGCCAAUGGUGUGAGAAAAUAUUUGCUACUCUAUAUGGGUUUGAAAGAAAAUCGAUUUGAUGAAUCCUAUCCACCAAGAUCUCUGAGGCU
rfam:Ricinus communis cultivar Hale ctg_1100012362415, whole genome shotgun sequence.